GAUGAACGUUGGCGGCGUGCCUAAUACAUGCAAGUCGAACGAAGACUGUAGUAAUACUGUCUUAGUGGCGAACGGGUGAGUAACGCGUGGGUGACCUGCCCCGAAGUGUGGGAUAACAGUUCGAAAGGAUUGCUAAUACUGCAUAAUAUCCAAGAGAUUAGACGCUUUUGGAUUAAAGGAGUAAUUCGCUUCGGGAGGGGCCCGCGUCCCAUCAGCUAGUUGGUAAGGUAAUGGCUUACCAAGGCAAUGACGGGUAGGGGACCUGAGAGGGUGGCCCCCCACAAUGGAACUGAAACACGGUCCAUACACCUACGGGUGGCAGCAGUAGGGAAUAUUAGUAAUGGGCGAAAGCCUGAACUAGCAACGCCGCGUGUGCGAAGAAGGCCUUCGGGUUGUAAAGCACUUUUGUAGAGGAUGAGGAAGGACGGUACGUCUCAGAAUAAGUCUCGGCUAACUACGUG
rnacentral:rRNA from 1 species